rnacentral:rRNA from 1 species
GUGUCAGCAGCCGCGGUAAUACAGAGGUCCCAAGCGUUGUUCGGAUUCACUGGGCGUAAAGGGUGCGUAGGCGGUCGGGUAAGUCUGACGUGAAAUCUCCGGGCCUAACCCGGAAACUGCGUCGGAUACUAUCCGGCUAGAGGAUUGGAAGGGAGACUGGAAUACUUGGUGUAGCAGUGAAAUGCGUAGAUAUCAAGUGGAACACCAGUGGCGAAGGCGAGUCUCUGGACAAUUCCUGACGCUGAGGCACGAAAGCCAGGGGAGCAAACGGGAUUAGAUACCCCUGUAGUCC